GACGAACGCUGGCUGCGUGCUUAACACAUGCAAGUCGAACGCUGAAGCCCCAGCUUGCUGGGGUGGAUGAGUGGCGAACGGGUGAGUAACACGUGAGUAACCUGCCCCUGACUUCGGGAUAAGCCCGGGAAACUGGGUCUAAUACCGGAUACGACUAUCGGACGCAUGUCUGGUGGUGGAAAGUUUUUUCGGUUGGGGAUGGGCUCGCGGCCUAUCAGUUUGUUGGUGAGGUAAUGGCUCACCAAGACGACGACGGGUAGCCGGCCUGAGAGGGCGACCGGACACACUGGGACUGAGACACGGGCCAGACUCCUACGGGAGGCAGCAGUGGGGAAUAUUGCACAAAGGGGGAAACCCUGAUGCAGCGACGCAGCGUGCGGGAUGACGGCCUUCGGGUUGUAAACCGCUUUCAGCAGGGAAGAAGCCUUCGGGUGACGGUACCUGCAGAAGAAGUACCGGCUAACUACGUG
rnacentral:rRNA from 1 species